AUUGAACGCUGGCGGCAUGCUUUACACAUGCAAGUCGAACGGUAACAGGCCGCAAGGUGCUGACGAGUGGCGAACGGGUGAGUAAUGCAUCGGAACGUGCCCGGUCGUGGGGGAUAACGCAGCGAAAGCUGCGCUAAUACCGCAUACGCCCUAUGGAUGAAAGCGGGGGACCGUAAGGCCUCGCGCGAUUGGAGCGGCCGAUGUCAGAUUAGGUAGUUGGUGGGGUAAAGGCUCACCAAGCCGACGAUCUGUAGCUGGUCUGAGAGGACGACCAGCCACACUGGGACUGAGACACGGCCCAGACUCCUACGGGAGGCAGCAGUGGGGAAUUUUGGACAAUGGGCGCAAGCCUGAUCCAGCAAUGCCGCGUGCAGGAAGAAGGCCUUCGGGUUGUAAACUGCUUUUGUACGGAACGAAACGGUCUGGGUUAAUACCCUGGGCUAAUGACGGUACCGUAAGAAUAAGCACCGGCUAACUACGUGCCAGCCGCCGCAGUAACAC
rnacentral:rRNA from 1 species